GAUUACCGCAAACCCUACUUCCAGUUCCGCCUCUAGGCUCCAGCUAGUUCGACCACCAUGUUCUAGAAAAGUCACCUGCAAUAGCUCUUGAUCCUUACUUUGUCAGGCUUCAACUGCUAAAAGCUGGGAAGGAGGGGAAUUUAGUUAACACUGACUUCAUGAUGAUAUGGAACUUACGUCGUUAAUUAAAUCUCUAUUGCAUGAUACUGGCUCAUUGUUGGUGCCUCAUCAGCUGAGGAAUUGUUGAGACGUUGAGGUACGGAAACUUCAUUGGAACACCUGCCUGACCGACCCCACUACUUCUUCUCCCUUCGCUGGUGGUGCCUGCAUGAGCGAAGCAAGCAAGCAAGCAGCAUGAAGUGGCAGCUCAACGUGAGUUUGAAGAGAAAGAAGUUAAUAUCUCAGGUCUGCACAAGCUUAUUCUUCCUGUUUGCUGGGAUUGAGUAUGCUGUAAUCCUACCAACCCUCAACGACUACCUGAAGAAUGAAUUCAAUACCAAGCAGUUCUUCUAUGGCCUCGUCCUGUCGGCCUUCUCCCUCUCUGGGGUGUUGCUGGCCCCGUCUAUGGUGUCUGGUAUGACAGAACGCACAAAACUAAAAUGAUGAUCAUCUUCGCCAAAUGUGGGAAAUCGCAGGUAACCUGCUAUACUUCAUUGGAAUCAAUGAAUACUAUAUACUGGUGGGAGACUACUAGCUGGUAAGUA